UACGGGGGGGAGCAAGCGUUGUUCGGAUUUACUGGGCGUAAAGGGCGCGUAGGCGGUCAGCACAAGUCAGUUGUGAAAUCUCCGGGCUUAACUCGGAACGGUCAGCUGAUACUGCUUUGCUAGAGUGCGGAAGGGGCAAUCGGAAUUCUCGGUGUAGCGGUGAAAUGCGUAGAUAUCGAGAGGAACACCUGAGGUGAAGACGGGUUGCUGGGCCGACACUGACGCUGACAGCGCGAAAGCCAGGGGAGCAAACGGG
rnacentral:rRNA from 1 species